rnacentral:rRNA from 1 species
GGAAUGACUCUCGACGACGGAUAUCUUGGCUCUUGCAUCGAUGAAGAACGCAGCGAAAUGCGAUAUGUUGUGUGAAUUGCAGAAUCCCGUGAACCAUUGAAUUUUUGAACGCAAGUUGCGCCCAAUGCCAUUUAUAGGUGGAGGGCACGCCUGCCUGGGUGUCAUUC